rnacentral:rRNA from 1 species
GACGAACGCUGGCGGCGUGCUUAACACAUGCAAGUCGUACGGUAAGGCCCUUUCGGGGGUACACGAGUGGCGAACGGGUGAGUAACACGUGAGUAACCUGCCCACAACUUUGGGAUAACGCUAGGAAACUGGUGCUAAUACUGGAUAUGUGCUCCUGCUGCAUGGGGGGGGUUGGAAAGCUCCGGCGGUUGUGGAUGGACUCGCGGCCUAUCAGCUUGGUGGUGGGGUAGUGGCCUACCAAGGCGGCGACGGGUAGCCGGCCUGAGAGGGUGACCGGCCACAUUGGGACUGAGAUACGGCCCAGACUCCUACGGGAGGCAGCAGUGGGGAAUAUUGCACAAUGGGCGCAAGCCUGAUGCAGCAACGCCGCGUGCGGGAUGACGGCCUUCGGGUUGUAAACCGCUUUCAGCAGGGACGAAGCUUUUUGUGACGGUACCUGCAGAAGAAGCACCGGCUAACUACGUG